GGAGGAAAAGAAACCAACAGGGAUUGCCUCAGUAACGGCGAGUGAAGCGGCAAUAGCUCAAAUUUGAAAUCUGGAGCCUUCGGCUUCCGAGUUGUAAUUUGAAGAGGAUGUUUCGGUUGCGGCCACAGCCCAAGUUCCUUGGAACAGGACGUCAUGGAGGGUGAGAAUCCCGUACCUGGCUGUUGGCUUGCUUCCAUGUGAAACUCCUUCGAAGAGUCGAGUUGUUUGGGAAUGCAGCUCAAAAUGGGUGGUAAAUUUCAUCUAAAGCUAAAUAUUGGCGGGAGACCGAUAGCGCACAAGUAGAGUGAUCGAAAGAUGAAAAGCACUUUGAAAAGAGAGUUAAACAGUACGUGAAAUUGUUGAAAGGGAAGCGCUUGCAAUCAGACUCGCUUUCGGUUGAUCAACGUUCCUUCUGGUUCGUGCACUCUGCCGUUGGCGGGCCAGCAUCAGCUGGGGCGGUGGGACAAAGACUUCAGGAAUGUGGCUCUCUUCGGGGAGUGUUAUAGCCUGUUGUGCAAUGCCACCAGUCCCGGCUGAGGUCCGCGGUUUAUCCUAGGAUGCUGGCUUAAUGGUUGUAAGCGACCCGUCUUGAAACACGGACCAAGGAGUCUAACAUCUAUGCGAGUCUUUGGGUGUCAAACCCAUGGGCGUAAUGAAAGUGAACGGAGGUGGGAGUCUUCGGAUGCACCAUCGACCGAUCCUGAUGUUCUCGGAUGGAUUUGAGUAGGAGCAUAGCUGUUGGGACCCGAAAGAUGGUGAACUAUGCCUGAAUAGGGUGAAGCCAGAGGAAACUCUGGUGGAGGCUCGCAGCGGUUCUGACGUGCAAAUCGAUCGUCAAAUUUGGGUAUAGGGGCGAAAGACUAAUCGAACCAUCUAGUAGCUGGUUCCUGCC
rnacentral:rRNA from 1 species